GCCAGGAAUGGUGUCUCAUGCCUGUAAUCCCAGUGUAUUGGGAGGCUGAGGCAGGAGGAUUGCAAGUUCAAAGACAAUCUCAGCAUUUAGAGACCCUAAGCAACUUAGUGAGACCCUGUCUCUA
rnacentral:sRNA from 1 species